UUUCUACUCCCUCCGUCCGGAAAUACUUGUCAUCAAAAUGGAUAAAAGGAAAUGUAUCUAAAUACGUCUAGAUACAUUUCCUUUUAUCCAUUUUGAUGACAAGUAUUUAUGGACGGAGGGAGUAUUUU
rfam:Triticum aestivum genome assembly, contig: Triticum_aestivum_CS42_TGACv1_scaffold_035483_1BL